CGGUGACCAGAGAGCAGUGUGAGGAUUUGGCAGCGACGUGUUGACGCUGCGCUUGCGUACCAUACGUAGGGCAAGACUGGAAGGCCGCUGGGAAAAUACCAGCAUCCCGAACGCAAAAAACGGACAGCGGGUCCACGUGCUAGGGAUUCGACCGCAUCCAAUGCAGGUGGGAAGAUCCCGCUAGACUAAAAUAGCUUAUCCUUAUCAAAACCCGGAAAUGCCAAAUGGACACGUGGGAUGAGGGUUCGGUUAAAUAACGCAGGAUGGUGGCCUACAAGGUUUCAGUGUGUUUCUGGAAAAGGAAAUAAUAUUCAGGAUGCCUAACACCGAUGAGUGAAGCCUCAAGUUAAUGAGCCCUGGGCUGGAGGCUUCCUAAAACACUAUGCAAAUGUGUAUUAAACAAGGCGUAGAGGAAACACUGACCAUUUUAAGAUGGUUGAUGCAACUUCUGAAAAUCUGAAGAACUUUGUUUCAAGCUGGUAUUAGCAUUUCACGAAAAGGAUCGGGGAGUUCUGCAUUAGGGUGAAGUAGAUUUCUCAUUAACAUGGAUGAAAAAUACCUAUUGAUAGUAUAAUUCGUUGAGCAGAGGGCAGAAGAGGGCGCCGCAACUCUGAGCAGGGUUGAGAAGCCUGUUUGGAUCCAGCUCUGCCAUUCUGGGCCGUGAGGUUACCAAUGUAGCAGUGAAGAAAGCCGGGGAUCACAGGCUCUCCUCCUUGUUAUAACAUUAGUAACAACACAAGAGGAGAGGAAACCAAGAGAGAACACUCCCAUGAUGCUCAUCGAAAUGGGACUCAUAAUCUCACUGAGCUGUAGACAGAAAGCCCGGAACUGGCAACCAGGACCAGAGACUUGGAGGCUGGAAGUCAAUAACCAAAGUGCCAGCACAGACCAAGCUGGGAGGACUCCAUUCUGGAUUGCGGAUGGCCACCUUCUUGCCAGGAGUCAAAAGUGAGCAGCAGUGCCCACCUCUUGGUCAUGCAGGGUGAAGGACUGAACCAGGGCUUGUGUUUGCCAGCAGCUUGCGGCACCGGGAAUGAUGGACAGCCACGUGGUCUCUGGCUGGCAGCGUGGAUGAGACACCGAUGUGGAUUCAGAGGCACCAAGGACUACGAACAUCAACAUGGCCUCCACAGCAGCACUGAUCAUGGAAGUCUUUCAAGGGGACAACUCAGAAAAUGAAUCGUUCUUCAUCUCGGAUAUCUUGUUGCUCAGAGUCAGGGUGAUCGUGGGAUCGGGCAGCGUGUGUGUGGAACAGAAGUGGGCGUGGGGGGGGCACCUAGAAGAGCUGCGGCUCCAUUCUGCGGGCUGAGCGGCAGCAGUACUUGUCCUAGCAGGCGGGAACCGGGUGAGGUGGAUCCUAUAGUUGCUUGAGCCUCCAGGGUCCGAGGAGAACCUUCUCUACUGGGCAAUGACAUGCUCCUUUGUGCCCUCCCCCUGCCGCAGCCCUGCUCCAUACCCAUCGCUGCCCAGUCUCGCUUCCCUCUGUUGCGCUGCUCUGUUCUGCAGUAUGGAAAAAAAAUAUACUUUAGGGGUGGGGCACGCCAUUGAACUUUUCAUAAUUUCCAUCUCUUUGCUGAAAUUCCCUCUGACUACACCCAUUGUCAGCUUUCCCCACCAGAUCCUUUAAUGUAUUGUUACACUUUUUAAAAUUCUUCUCUGCUAAUUUGAAUACUCAGAUCAUAUGCAAAUCCG
rnacentral:lncRNA from 1 species